AUGCAGAGACAAGUUGGCUCUGCAGUGAUCAGCGAGAUCACAACCAGGGCCAUCUCCAAGGUAAUUGGAAUGAUCAACAAGCAGACGGCUAUCGAUGACAAGCUGCGCAAGCUGGACAUGCUGUGCACAAAGAUCAACAGUGCAGUUGAAGCAUCUAAGAAUGCUGCCAAGAUGCUGCUCUCAACCAACAAGGAUGUGCAGAAGUUAAACAGCACAGUGGAAAUGUUGGAGAAGCUAUCGGCAGAUAAUGAGGAGUUCUCAGGAUUGGUUGAGCUUCAGGUUUUGACAGUAGACGAGCAUGGUCCUGCAAAAAGGAAGAAACUGGAGAUGUUGGAGAAGCCAUCGGCAGAUAAUGAGUUCUUGAGAUCGGUUGAGCUUGCAAAAGAGAAGAAACAAGAGGUGUUGGAGAAGCUAUCGGCAGAUAAUCAGUUCACGAGAUCCGUUAAACUUGAGGUUUUGAACGGGGAGAAGAAUCAUUCAGUGCGAUUAAAACAAUGGUGA
rnacentral:rRNA from 1 species